AAUGUGAACUUCAGUUGAUUAAAUAUGUAUGGUUGACUUUUGUUCUUUACCUGAGUAUUUACUUUGGUUCAUAAUUUUGUUUCUCUAGUUUUUGUACUUCAGUAUGUAUUAUAAUUAAAAUUGAUAGUAUAUUUGUUUAGUUGUUAAAAUAAAUAUAAUAUUACUUAGAAUGCUUUUCUUUUAUUAUCAUAUAAUAACCUUUGUUACUUUAUAUUAUUAUAUUAGUCGUACAACGCACGGAUCAAAUACUAGUUAU
rnacentral:lncRNA from 1 species